UGCUCAGCACUCUCACUGUUUUUAAAAGAAGGACAGAGAGUGAUAGAGGAAAGGAGUGAGACCCCUGCAAAACUUAAACAACUACUUCCAGUAGAUGGGCCUGCCUGGCUGCCCCACCUUCACUGAUGUGCGGACCUCCAUCGCCAGCCACGCCAAGUUUACACAUUCUAGCGAAGACCGCCUAAAAAUCUCCAAAUUCAUGUGCCAUGACAUCAGGACGGCAGACAAGUUUUAUGUUACAAACCCGUCUGCCCAGCAGGCCAUGGAACACUGCAAGCUCUUUGAGUCUGCCUUGGAGGAGUCCACCAAGGCAGCCAACACCUCAAAAGUGGAAGCGGCCUGCUGAGAAGUCCCAGCCAUCCAAAAAAGCGGCCACCAAAGUCCCCUGAGCUGACAUCAGGCAGCACCACUCUAAGAGGAGACGGAGGUCCAUUAUCAAGAGUCUGGGAUGUCCAGUCCUCAGUCCAUUGAGCAUGAAGCAGAGAACCCAGGGGAGACUGGCCAAGGCGAGGUGGAAGGAGAAGUGGAAGGAGGGGCGGAAGGAGGUGCAGAAAAAGGAGCAGGAGAUGGAGCCCAAUUCACCUGAGACCGAGUUAUCAACCCCACGCAAAACGUACCCGACCAGAAGGGGAAAGGUAAAGGUGGUGCUGACACCAGUGAAGUCUGCACUAGAGACCAAUAUGACCCACCAAAAUAUCUCCCUUCUGAAGGUGAAGGACGGCAAUUUUUCAACAAGCUCAACCACUUUAAUGGGGAUGUGCCAUCAAAAAAAGGCCAAAUAUUAUAGACCUACACAAGGCUAGAAUGGGCUACAAGACCAUCAUGCAGCUUGGUGAGAAGGUGACAACCAGGGUGUGAACUACGGGGGGGCGGGGUCUCAAAAAAUAUUGACUGUGUUAUUUUGCAAUUUCAGUUUUUUGUAAUGUGAUCAUUGUGGAUUAUUAUGUGAAAAAAUGGAAAAAUAUAAUUCAUGCAUGAUGGAGAUUUAAACCUAACUCACUUCAAUAAAGAUGACUAUACAUGCUAUCUUGUCAUGAGCAUCAA